rnacentral:rRNA from 1 species
AUUGAACGCUGGCGGCAUGCCUUACACAUGCAAGUCGAACGGCAGCGGGCCUUCGGGUGCCGGCGAGUGGCGAACGGGUGAGUAAUGCAUCGGAACGUGCCAUUGAGUGGGGGAUAACGUAGCGAAAGUUGCGCUAAUACCGCAUAUUCUGUGAACAGGAAAGCAGGGGACCGCAAGGCCUUGCGCUCUUUGAGCGGCCGAUGUCAGAUUAGCUAGUUGGUGAGGUAAAGGCUUACCAAGGCGACGAUCUGUAGCGGGUCUGAGAGGAUGAUCCGCCACACUGGAACUGAGACACGGUCCAGACUCCUACGGGAGGCAGCAGUGGGGAAUUUUGGACAAUGGGGGCAACCCUGAUCCAGCCAUGCCGCGUGAGUGAAGAAGGCCUC